ensembl:lncRNA
GUGCCCGCCAGAGUCUCCAGUGGAGAGCAGUAGAGAAACGUAAGCGUGGUGGCUAGAGAGGAGUCUUAGGGAAAGACCCGGAACUCUUAAUGUCGUACCUGACGCCUGCGCAAUGAGAACAGCGCCUCCUGGUGCGCGGAGGACUGACGGUGAUGCAGCUUCAGGGAAUCUUGAUUUCUGUCUGCUCCCAGGAAUUCUAGAAACCAUCAUCAUCAUCGUCAUUGUCAUUAUAUCAGCAGCAGCAGCAUCCCUUCGUGUCACUCUGGUGCCCAGUUCCCUUCCCAGUGAGAUGGACAAAAUGGUGCUCUGCAGGUCAUGGGCUUAGGCCAGUGAUCUUCACACGCUGAGUCACUCACCCUUGUGAGAUACAAAUCAUGGAUUCCAGGGUGCACCGGCUUCAGAAGUUGUGAUACCUGGGGUCAGUAGUUGUGGAUCCUGGACUCUAGAGCACAGGCUUGAUAACUGUGAGGCUUAGUUGCUCCGCGACAUGUGGGAUCUUCCUGGAUUGGGCAUCAAACCUGCAUCUCCUGCAUUGCCAGGCGGAUUCUUUACCACUGAGCCACCAGGGAAGCCUGACCUGCUUUCGUCUUAAAAGAAGUUCGUCAGGAACCCUCCCUCUGCAACCUGCUCCCACCCCUUUCCCAGCCAAAGACGUUCUUAGAAGGAAAAAUGAUAUAGUUCUGAAACUUUAGGUUUCAUAAAGAAAGGAAGAGCAUUAGAGAAGGAAUAAAUAAUAGUAAUAUGUCUUUUUUUAAAAUUUCAGUUGAUCCAACAGAUAGUAGUUUGCUCAAAAUACUAGUAGAACCAAGGUAUUUGGUGCUUGUAGGUCAUGCACAGUGAAAUGAAUGACAGUGAUGCUAUCAGAGAUGAGAGGGAGGGCUUGGGGAUACCCUGUUAUAAAGUGCUUGCGUUACCCAUGAGAUUGUAUAGUUGUAUCUGAAAAGGACUUGGAUGAAUAAAUGUAUAGGACAGCUGCUAAAAGAAUAAAUUAAAUAAAAAAGUGUAACUAAUAUCCUAAGAGAGUACAAAAAAUGGGAUUAUAUAAAAUGCUCAAUUAAAACAAAAAAAAAGAUUAAAAAAAUACGAGAAAAAAAAGAAACAAGAAGGGCAAUGAAUAGAAAAGAGUAACAACUAUGGCAGAUACUAAUUUGAUUAUAUCAAUAAUCACUUUAAAUGUCAAUGGUCUAAAUACACCAACUGAAAAAAACAGAUUGUGUGUCUGAGUGGAUUAAAAAAAACAAGCUCUUAUAUUUUGUUCAUAAGAAGCUCAUUUUAAACAUAGGCUGGAUAGAUUAAAAGUAAAGAUAGAUAGGUUAAAAGUAAAGAGAUGGAGAAAGACAUACCACGAUAACACCAAUCUAAAGAAAGCUGAGGUAGUAGUAUUAAUUUCAGACAAAGCAGAGCAAAGAAAUAUUAAUAUUAUUAACAUUAGUU